rnacentral:rRNA from 1 species
UACGAAGGGGGCUAGCGUUGCUCGGAAUCACUGGGCGUAAAGCGCACGUAGGCGGAUCUUUAAGUCAGGGGUGAAAUCCUGGAGCUCAACUCCAGAACUGCCUUUGAUACUGGGGAUCUCGAGUCCGGAAGAGGUGAGUGGAACUCCGAGUGUAGAGGUGAAAUUCGUAGAUAUUCGGAGGAACACCAGUGGCGAAAGCGGCCUCCUGGACCAUCCCUGACGCUCAGACGCGAAAGCUAGGGGAGCAAACGGG